CUNUNGGCGANCCUGAUGGAGCACGCCGCGUGCAGGAUGAAGGCCUUCGGGUUGUAAACUGCUUUUAUAAGUGAGGAAUAUGACGGUAACUUAUGAAUAAGGAUCGGCUAACUACGUGCCAGCAGCCGCGGUCAUACGUAGGAUCCGAGCGUUAUCCGGAGUGACUGGGCGUAAAGAGUUGCGUAGGUGGUUUGUUAAGUAGAUAGUGAAAUCUGGCGGCUCAACCGUACAGGCUAUUAUCUAAACUGACAAACUCGAGAGUGGUAGAGGUUACUGGAAUUUCUAGUGUAGGAGUGAAAUCCGUAGAUAUUAGAAGGAACACCAAUGGCGUAGGCAGGUAACUGGACCAUUUCUGACACUAAGGCACGAAAGCGUGGGGAGCGAACCGGAUUAGAUACCCGGGUAGUCCACGCCGUAAACGAUGGAUACUAGCUGUUGGAGGUAUCGACCCCUUCAGUAGCGAAGCUAACGCGUUAAGUAUCCCGCCUGUGGAGUACGGUCGCAAGACUAAAACAUAAAGGAAUUGACGGGGACCCGCACAAGCGGUGGAUCGUGUUCUUUAAUUCGAUGCUAAACGAAGAACCUUACCAGGGCUUGACAUCCAGGGAAUUUUUGGGAAACCAAUUAGUGCCUUUUGGAACCCUGUGACAGGUGAUGCAUGGCCGUCGUCAGCUCGUGUCGUGAGAUGUUUGGUUAAGUCCAUCAACGAGCGCAACCCUUGUACUUAGUUGAAUUUUUCUAGGUAGACUGCCCCGGUAACGGGGAGGAAGGAGGGGAUGAUGUCAGGUCAGUAUUUCCCUUACGUCCUGGGCUAGAAACACGAUACAAUGGCAAGUACAAUGCGCAGCGAAGCCGCGAGGUGGAGCAAAUCGCAUCAAAGCUUGUCCCAGUUCGGAUUGGAGGCUGAAACUCGCCUCCAUGAAGUCGGAAUCGCUAGUA
rnacentral:rRNA from 1 species